GCCAUGAAUGGUGAUAUAUAC
rnacentral:siRNA from 1 species